UACAGAGGUCUCAAGCGUUGUUCGGAUUCAUUGGGCGUAAAGGGUGCGUAGGCGGCGCGGUAAGUCGGGUGUGAAAUCUCGGAGCUUAACUCCGAAACUGCAUUCGAUACUGCCGUGCUUGAGGACUGGAGAGGAGACUGGAAUUUACGGUGUAGCGGUGAAAUGCGUAGAUAUCGUAAGGAAGACCAGUGGCGAAGGCGGGUCUCUGGACAGUUCCUGACGCUGAGGCACGGAAGGUCAGGGGGAGCAAACGGG
rnacentral:rRNA from 1 species